rnacentral:misc_RNA from 1 species
GCACGUUCUCCAAUUUUGCACACUUUCUUCAAGCAAUUUAGGCCGCCGCCCCCGCCCAAAAAUGCAGCAAUCUAUUUUCUCACUCACACUUCUCCUUCUCUUCUUCCAUUGCACCAACACACUUUCCCAAUCACCAGCCUCUGCACCAGUAGCUGCUCCAGCACAGGCACCAUCACACCAUCCAUCACACCGCCCACACAGCUCCUCGCCGCCGCCUGGCCCGACAGACGUCAUCCAAAUCCUCCUGAAGGCCGGCCACUUCAUAACCUUCAUCCGCCUAAUAAAGGCUACACAUGUGGAUUUUCAGUUAACUUCCCAACUCAACAGCUCAACUGAUGGUAUCACCGUUUUUGCCCCAACUGAUACUGCAUUUACAAACCUUAAAGCAGGUGCUCUGGACUCUCUGAACGACAAAGAAAAGUUGGCGUUUGUGCAGUUUCAUAUAUUACCAAGAUUUCUCUCAAUUUCUGACUUCCAGACUCUGAGUAACCCAGUAAAGACACUGGCUGGAUCCGAUGAUCGUUACCCAGUGAACAUAUCCACUACUGAUAGUUCAGUGAGUAUAAGCACAGGACUCACAAAAACAAGCAUAGCUAACACCGUAUACACUGAUAAACAAGUUGCUAUUUAUGAGAUUGACAAGGUUCUACUCCCUAAACGCCUUUUUCCUCCGGCAACGGCUCCAGCGCCAGCGAAGUCAGCAGAGACUCCGGAAAUUAAUCCUAAGGAUGCAUCUAGCGCAAUGAGCUCUGUUUUACAUUAUAAUGGGGCGGUGGUACUUGGAGUUGUCUUAGCUGCUGCAAUGUUAUUUCUUUGACACUUAAAGAAUCGUGGGGUGGGAGAGGGUGUUUAAUUUUCUCUUGGUAUAUUAUAUUGAGCGAUGGUGGUCAUCG